rnacentral:lncRNA from 1 species
GAUUCUAAAAAAAAAGAGAAAAAAAUCUGAUAUCUCUCUUCACACUCACGUGACACUCUCUCAAAAUCUAAAAAAAAAAGAUCUAAAAAGAUCCUCUCAAAAUCCUAUCCUAACGUCUCUCUCCCAACAAACUCACGCUACCUCCACUCUCUCAGCACUCAUUCCCACCAACCACUUUCUCAUCUCUACACAUUCCAAAAAAAAGAAAAGACAAAAGAAAGACAGCUCUAAAAAAAAAUCUGAAAAAAUAAAAAGAGAUUCAUUGUUCUCUCUCAGAAAAAUCCCCACACCUCUCCGCCAAUCUCC